GACGAACGCUGGCGGCGUGCUUAACACAUGCAAGUCGAACGGAAAGGCCCUGCUUUUGUGGGGUGCUCGAGUGGCGAACGGGUGAGUAACACGUGUGUAACCUGCCCUUGACUUUGGGAUAACUUCAGGAAACUGGGGCUAAUACCGGAUAGGAUCUCCUGCUGCAUGGUGGGGGUUGGAAAGUUUCGGCGUUUGGGGAUGGACUCGCGGCUUACCAGCUUGUUGGUGGGGUAGUUGCUUACCAAGGCUUUGACGGGUAGCCGGCCUGGGAGGGUGACCGGCCACAUUGGGACUGAGGUACGGCCCAGACUCCUACGGGAGGCAGCAGUGGGGAAUAUUGCACAAUGGGCGGAAGCCUGAUGCAGCAACGCCGCGUGCGGGAUGACGGCCUUCGGGUUGUAAACCGCUUUCGCCUGUGACGAAGCGUGAGUGACGGUAAUGGGUAAAGAAGCACCGGCUAACUACGUG
rnacentral:rRNA from 1 species